rnacentral:rRNA from 1 species
AACGAACGCUGGCGGCAUGCCUAACACAUGCAAGUCGAACGAGACCUUCGGGUCUAGUGGCGCACGGGUGCGUAACGCGUGGGAACCUGCCCUUAGGUUCGGAAUAACUCCCCGAAAGGGGUGCUAAUACCGGAUAAUGUCUUCGGACCAAAGAUUUAUCGCCUUUGGAUGGGCCCGCGUUGGAUUAGCUAGUUGGUAGGGUAAAAGCCUACCAAGGCGACGAUCCAUAGCUGGUCUGAGAGGAUGGUCAGCCACACUGGGACUGAGACACGGCCCAGACUCCUACGGGAUGCAGCAGUGGGGAAUAUUGGACAAUGGGCGAAAGCCUGAUCCAGCAAUGCCGCGUGAGUGAUGAAGGCCUUAGGGUUGUAAAGCUCUUUUACCCGGGAUGAUAAUGACAGUACCGGGAGAAUAAGCUCCGGCUAACUCCGUG